GUGCUUGUUUUGGCAACACAUAUACUAAAAUUGGAAUGGUACAGAGAAGAUUAGCAUAGCUCUUGUGUAAGGAAGACACAGAUUUGUGAAGGUUUGGACUGUUGU
ensembl:snRNA U6 U6 spliceosomal RNA